rnacentral:tRNA from 1 species
ACAAAAUGUAGCUUAACUAAAGCCCCUCGCUUACACCGAGAGCAUGUCUGUUAAACCCAGAUCAUUUUGA